GGCGGGCAGCGUGUGCAGGAAUCCAGGCGGGGGCUGGGCCAGGCGCUGAUGUGCCGCUCGCUCGGGAAGAGCGGAGCUGGGCACCAGCGGGAAGCCGCCUUGCGCUGCCCGGGCUCCGCGGGGAGCAGACCAUUGGCUGAGCGUUUACAACUGUUGUAGAAGAUACAGCCAACUGGAUUAUCUAGAAAACGAGGGAGAGAAACUGGAGCCAUUCAGUUUGAUGGGGGAAACCGAGGCACCAAGAAGGAAGUGACUUUCACAGGACCAUCCAGCAGAGCCAGGCAUUGAACCUAGGUCUCCCGAGUCUCUGUCCAGUACCCUGUCCAAGGAG